UACGGAGGGGACUAGCGUUGUUCGGAAUUACUGGGCGUAAAGCGCACGUAGGCGGCCUGAUAAGUCGGGUGUGAAAGCCCUGGGCUCAACCCAGGAAGUGCACUCGAAACUGGCGGGCUUGAAUAUGGAAGAGGGUCGCGGAAUUCCCGGUGUAGAGGUGAAAUUCGUAGAUAUCGGGAGGAACACCAGUGGCGAAGGCGGCCCGG
rnacentral:rRNA from 1 species